AGGCAGACUUGGAAGCAGUGACCGUCGCUCUGCUUGGUGGCUUUAGAAAGUCCCCAGAUUUUCCUCUUUAAUUAUUUGUCUGCAUAUGCAUGUGUGAGGGUGCUGGUGGGGGCCAGAAGAAGGUGUCAGAUCCCCUGGAGCUGGAGUUAAAGGCAGUUAUGAGCGACCUGUUGUGGAUGCUGGAAACUGAACAUGGAACUGGAAAACAGGAAGGGAUGGAACGUUCAUUGUAGAACAGUGCCUGAUCUUCUCUGACCUCCCUCACUCUGAGCUGAAUGGGUCAUGGAGACAUUAUCUGCACCACUCAGCUAUCUACCCGACACUCCCUGGCUUCUUUCUGCCUUAGAUGGAUCUUUUGGGCUUCUUCAGCUGAAGAAAUGAUGGGAAGACGUCUGAGGUACUCACCUCUACUUGAAGCAUUUGGGUGUUCUAUUUGAUUGCCUGUUUUUCAUCCCUCUGCCUCUCUGGACUGUGAACUCCUACAGGGCCCUGCUCGGGAACCCACAGCCCAGGAUUGUGCUUGUGUUGAAGGCAGAACAGGUCGUAGGAAUCUGGAGCUCGUGAAGGGAAAAGGCCUGUUGGACGGUUUGGUCAUCGCUCAGUGCUGCCCAUACAGGCUAUGCACAGCAUGUUGCAAUCAGGCCGUGUGCUGCUCUGAGUUACUCCAUUGACCUUCCCUCAGAGAUCCUAUUAUCGUAAGACAGAUCCUGCUCUGAGAGAGAUUCCAUAUUACAAGCAGAAUUUCUCUCUUUUUUGAGAACAGAGAAUGAUGAUACCUGGUGGACAUAUAAGCAGGAGCAUCGUUCCCAUGCCGCAGACAAGGAUAUCAGCGGUCCAGUCCAAAACGUCAAACACAAAUCAGUAACAGCAGUAGCAUCAGCUUGAUCCAGAAGAAACCUCAAGGCUCUGCCGAAUCAGCACAAGUCUGCAAAAGUGGCAAGAAGCAGCCGGAAUACCACGAGAAGUACUUUGGUUCAUGUCUCUCUACGGAGUCAUAACAAGCGAAGAUCGGUGAAGACAGCAAAGUGUUGCAAGGUGAACCGAUGCAAGAGCCUUGUUCAGUCUGUUGGGUUCUCCUUAGACGCUUUCCAAACAUCACACAUCCUCUCACGUGCCUGCUUCAGCAAAACAUCCUCUCAGAAGAGCUUCCCGAGAAACGUCACGUGACACAACUGAGUCUCCAAAGCAACCAGAAAUUUCCACUUCAGGGCUGAAUGAAGAGGACAGCUGACAUUCUGAUGGGAACACCUCCACCCUUCUGUCAGCUGACCAUCUGGGGUGUGUGUCAAUCAAUGGACUCUUGACUGUCCCAGGCUUCAUCUUGGCUUCAACUUUACAGUUGACGUGACCAACACGUAUCUGUCUAUCUGCCGCUUUGUCCCUCUAGAUUUGCCAUCUGUAUGUCUGUCCACUAUCCAUUUAUCUGGAGACACUCCUGGCUACAGAGACAGCGUCACCCUGUUCCCAGGCUUCUCAUGUGCAGAGUGAAGAUGAACACAGCUCUUUAUGCGGCAAAGUUUGCUUAGGAUGCAGGGGGAGGCACUGCUUCUGGGCCGAUCCAGAGAGCUCUAGAUGCCAGACACAGGAGCCAGAAGGCUUUGUUGAUGGGGUUGGUGACACACCUUGCGGUGUAUGCACAUGUAGACACUCAGCACCUGGUGCCCACACGAUGCCCUCUUCAAGCAUCUAGCAAAUACUCUCCAGGAUUAUAUCUACGUGGUGUGAAGAAAGACCUUUAUCUUCCACGUUGCCCCCACCCACACCACAAGAUCACCAGCCACUGCAGGAGCUCCCCUCCCCCACCAGCUGACUGGCUGGCCCCCACCCGGGCCCAUCUGCUCUGCAUGUGUAAGCAUUGUCAAAUUGUUUGAAUAAAUUGUCACUCUGAUUAAAAUUACACAAAAAGAAGCCCAAGGAAACAGCCAUGCUCUGGAGAAC
rnacentral:lncRNA from 1 species